rnacentral:rRNA from 1 species
AUGACGACCGCCUCGAGUAUCUCGCCGUACUCCCGAAAGUGGUCGUGCAGCCCCGCGGACGGCGUCUCCCAGGCCAGCCCGCCAACGAACACCUUGGUCAGCGUGGUGUCGCCGAACCGCGACCGGUGGUACGGCACGCCGCCGCCUCCUCCUCCUCCACCUCCACCCGGCGCCUGGGUCGGCGACGAGGCGCCGCCAGCCGGGGACGACGACGAUGCCGCCGCCGUCGCCGCCAUCUCUUCCAACUGUAGCUUGCUAGGACGCAACCCGCGAACGCGCAGCCGAGUCGACCCUCGUUCCUCCGCUUCUCCUCGCUGUUUGGGUCUUGGGGAGGACCCAAAUAUUGCUGGGAUCAAACUAUUACACGGAUAG